rnacentral:rRNA from 1 species
GACGAACGCUGGCGGCGUGCCUAAUACAUGCAAGUCGAGCGCAGGAAACUGACGGAACUCUUCGGAGGGAAGGCAGCGGAAUGAGCGGCGGACGGGUGAGUAACACGUAAGGAACCUGCCUCAAGGAUUGGGAUAACUCCGAGAAAUCGGAGCUAAUACCGAAUAGUUCAACGGACCGCAUGGUCCGCUGAUGAAAGGCGCUCCGGCGUCACCUUGAGAUGGCCUUGCGGUGCAUUAGCUAGUUGGUGGGGUAACGGCCCACCAAGGCGACGAUGCAUAGCCGACCUGAGAGGGUGAUCGGCCACACUGGGACUGAGACACGGCCCAGACUCCUACGGGAGGCAGCAGUAGGGAAUCUUCCACAAUGGACGAAAGUCUGAUGGAGCAACGCCGCGUGAGUGAUGAAGGUUUUCGGAUCGUAAAACUCUGUUGUAAGGGAAGAACACGUACGAGAGGGAAUGCUCGUACCUUGACGGUACCUUACGAGAAAGCCACGGCUAACUACGUGCCAGCCGCCGCGGUAAGAC